AUUGAACGCUGGCGGCAGGCCUAACACAUGCAAGUCGAACGGGUGGCGGACGGGUGAGAAAUGUCUGGGAAACUGCCUGAUGGAGGGGGAUGACUACUGGAAACGGUAGCUAAUACCGCAUACCAUGAGAUGUGCCCAGAUGGGAUUAGCUAGUUGGUGGGGUAACGGCGCACCAAGGCGACGAUCCCUAGCUGGAGUGAGAGGAGGACAAGCGACACUGGAACUGAGACACGGUCCAGACUCCUACGGGAGGCAGCAGUGGGGAAUAUUGCACAAUGGGCGCAAGCCUGAUGCAGCCAUGCCGCGUGUAUGAAGAAGGCCUUCGGGUUGUAAAGUACUUUCAGCGGGGAGGCGGUACCCGCAGAAGAAGCACCGGCUAACUCCGUGCCAGCAGCCGCGGUAAUUC
rnacentral:rRNA from 1 species